UGGUGUAUCAGUUGUCGUGCCAACGGCACCGCUGGAUAGCUACGUCUGGAUGUGAUAACUGCUGAAAGCAUCUAAGCGGGAAGCACACCCCGAGAUGAGAUCUCCCACUAGGUAACUAGGUAAGACCCCUGGAAGACUACCAGGUUGAUAGGCUGGAUGUGUAAGGGCAGUAAUGUCUUCAGCAGACCAGUACUAAUCGGUCGAGGUCUUGACUUAAUACAUU
rnacentral:rRNA from 1 species